AUUCAAUGGAGAAAGAGUAUAUUAAUGGUAUUGAACUCUGAUGUGUCAUUUUAUUUGUAUAUCUCAGAGUCCUCUAAGAAGAAAAUCAUUAUCUCUGUUUCAUAGGUUGUGAGAUGAAGGCAUAGAGAGUUACCUUACAGUGGUAUAUUGAAGAAUAUGAAGUCAGGAGCAGAACUGGGAGGAAACUCUAGAUCUCUUAAACUCCAGCUCAGCACAAGAGAAAAGAAAAGAGUGUCUGCAGACUCGACAGACUGGCCACAGGAUGGGGUUUAUUGCCAUAGUCCUUUCCUGGAAGAUGAUUUAACCACCAGCAACCUUUGUACGUGUAAGGACAAUUCAAGAUAAGUCUUUGGUGUUCAGGACUGAUGAGCUCCUGGCUGCCUCAUGAGAUAACAUGAUGCCCUCACAGACUCCUGCUGUGGUAUGCCUGCCUGGUUUCAACAGCAGCUCUGGAUUGUGCACCGUGCAGGCUGUGAUACCAAGUAAGCUGGCUUCAUCUGGGAGGCAAAACAUCUCUCCAUUGGAUUAAUAGCUUUAUAUGGCUCACAGGAUGAAACUGGAAGGCAGUCUGCGGGUGUUAUAACAUCAUCUUCUUCUUUUCUUCUUCUUAGCAGAGCCAUAGCUUCUGUGCCUCUCCAGCAGAAGUGACCUUCAAGGUCUGUUGUCCCAAGGCAUAAGUGGAUGCAUUUCUUAUGGAGAUGAAGCAACAAGGCUGUUUGCUUCUGUUGGUUUAAAAUAGACUUUCAUGGUUACUUUAAUGUAUCCUUUUUCUUUAUACUUUGAAGGCUUUGAAAUUUGCCCUGACACAUAUCAGUAAAACAGAAGCUACAGUGAAAGAGUCAGCUAUAAGAUAUCCAAGCGAAAGGAUACUUUAAAAUCCAUCAGUUUCUGUAGCAUCUUUCAUAUGCACAAAGUUACAAUGCCCGGCAGGCUAUCUGAGUGUGUCCAAUUGCCUCUUUUAACAAACACAUCUUUAGGCUUGUGGAAGUAAAGUAAGGUCAUUGCUUGAAUGAGCAAGCUGACACUUGGAAAGAGAUGCAGUGUGAUAGGUCUACUGCUCUCCAAACAGUGUGUACAGAAAAAAUAAUAGUAAAGCUAAAAGAUAACAUAUAAGCAAUAAAAAAUAGCAAGUUUCUCUUCCUAGGCA
rnacentral:lncRNA from 1 species